rnacentral:lncRNA from 1 species
ACUAGUAACCCAAGAUUCAGAUCGCAUCUAACUUUUGGAUGGCAGUACAAUUCCCAACUCAAAAUUCCAAAAUCUUGUUGUGUAAUGAAUAAUAAUUCAUCCACCAAAGCUCUUGUGAAUGUCGCAGGUGAAGAGUGCACUUCCAAACUCAUGACCUUCUUGCCAAUUUCUUUUAACUUUUUAGUUUCAAGGCGCGAUGGGAUUGGAUGAAUCAACAUGAGCCAAAGCCCACAACAAGUGAUGCGGGUUUCUUUACGAUAUUUGGGAAAUAAAUUUUUUAAGGUUUGUUUAUGGGUUUUGAUUUAAAGUUUCUUGGCUUUGCCUGUAUUUUGUGAGUUCCUAUGUUCAAUGGCUGAAGUCAAAUAUUUCUUGGCUUUGCCUUCCAUUUUCUAGAAAACUGUACACUGUAUGCACACGAGUUGCACAUGAUAUGCACAUGAUACGCUCACAGAUCUGAGCUCAACCUAAAAACCCAGAGCUCAUAGCUCUCACUUUGAAAUCAGAAAAAUGACGUCAUCACUUGUGAAUUUUUACAUUUUAUAUGUGGGUAUUUUCAUUAUUUCACUUUUGUGCAUGGUGUGCAUGGCUGAUUUGUCCUAUUUCAGUCUUAAGAUUAAGAAAAUGGGUCAUGUUGAUGCACAAAAUUAGUGAGGACUUUGGUACAACAUAAAGUGUUAAGUUUGUGACCUUCGCUAGAUUGCUCCGGUCACUAGUGUGGAUAAGUAUGUAAAUGGAUAGAGACAGGGAAGCAAACACAAGAUGUACGUGGUUCACCCAGAUUGGCUACGUCCACGGAGUAGAGGAGUUCUCAUUAAUUGUGAAAGGUUUACACAAGUACAUAGGUUCAAGCUCUCCUUUAGUGAGUACUAGUGAAUGAUUUAGUACAAAUGACAUUAGGAAAUAUUGUGGGAGAAUGAUCUCCUUUUAUAAAAGAGAGUUUCUAGCCUUGUUCUAACAUUGACACGUGUUGUGUUGUGAUUGGCUUCCGAUGUUGACACGUGUCGCGCUAUGAUUGGCUUCUGAUGUCGACACGUGUCGCUCUGUGAUUGGCCUCCUAGUUGGAGGGAAACUCUUCUAGAUCCUUGACGGUAUAACGUUGACCGGUGCUCGGUAGUUUCGGGAUUUGUCAAGUAUGAUACAAACAGGUCAUUUUUGGCAAUUUCCCUAAAAGAUAUGUCAUCUCCGAUUUUAGUUCUCAAAUACUCAUUUUUUUCGUAUGUAAUGGAGUUAUGUAUGUUUUGGAAUUUCAGAUCAGAUUCGGAAUAUUAAAUAAUUCCAAUUCCUAUCCAAUUUUUUUCCUUCUUGGAUUUUGGAAUUUUGGUUUUGGAUUUGUAUCCGACGGAAUAUUUUGAAAUACUUCUGCUCACAAUCGGUCGGAAUCAAAUAUUCCUAUCCAAGUUGCACCCAUCCUCUCUCGUGAAAUAUCUUCUUCUUCAAAACCCCAAUAUGUUUCGUAUAUUGGGAAUUAUUAAAAUUUUAAGGUACGUCAUAGUUUCGAUCCAAAUUAUUUCAGAAUAAUGAGUAGGAUUCAUCAGUUUCAUUACUGAUGAUUGUAGGAUCUAUAUAGUAUAUUAAUAUAAAUCACUGUUGACCCUAAAAACUACUAAGCCUACGUGGCGCGCAUGCCGAGUAACUAAUAAGCUAACUACGU